UACGUAGGUGGCAAGCGUUGUCCGGAUUUAUUGGGUUUAAAGGGUGCGUAGGCGGCCCUGUAAGUCAGUGCUGAAAUAUCCCAGCUUAACUGGGAGGGUGGCAUUGAUACUGCGGGGCUAGAGUACAGAUGAGGUAGGCGGAAUUGACGGUGUAGCGGUGAAAUGCUUAGAUAUCGUCAAGAACACCUAUAGCGAAGGCAGCUUACUAGGCUGUAGCUGACGCUGAGGCACGAAAGUGUGGGGAUCAAACAGG
rnacentral:rRNA from 1 species